UACAGAGGGUGCAAGCGUUAAUCGGAAUUACUGGGCGUAAAGCGCACGUAGGCGGUUUUUUAAGUCAGAUGUGAAAGCCCCGGGCUCAACCUGGGAAUUGCAUUUGAAACUGGGGAACUAGAGUGUGUGAGAGGGGUGUAGAAUUCCAAGUGUAGCGGUGAAAUGCGUAGAGAUUUGGAGGAAUACCAGUGGCGAAGGCGGCCCCCUGGCACAACACUGACGCUCAGGUGCGAAAGCGUGGGGAGCAAACAGG
rnacentral:rRNA from 1 species